AGCAGCCGCGGUAAUUCCAGCUCCAAUAGCGUAUAUUAAAGUUGUUGCAGUUAAAAAGCUCGUAAUUGAAUUUCGGGGUUAGUAGGUUGGUCAUGCCUCUGGUAUGUACUGGUCUCACUGAUUCCUCCUUCCUGAUGAGCCGUAAUGCCAUUAAUUUGGUGUUGCGGGGAAUUUGGACUGUUACUUUGAAAAAAUUAGAGUGUUUAAAGCAAGCUAACGCUUGAAUACAUUAGCAUGGAAUAAUGAAAUAGGACGUUCGAUCCUAUUUUGUUGGUUUCUAGGAUUGACGUAAUGAUUAAUAGGGAUAGUUGGGGGCAUUAGUAUUCAAUUGUCAGAGGUGAAAUUCUUGGAUUUAUUGAAGACUAACUACUGCGAAAGCAUUUGCCAAGGAUGUUUUCAUUAAUCAAGAACGAAAGUUAGGGGAUCGAAGACGAUCAGAUACCGUCGUAGUCUUAACCAUAAACUAUGCCGACUAGGGAUCGGAUGAUGUUAAUUUUUUAAUGACUCA
rnacentral:rRNA from 1 species